rnacentral:rRNA from 1 species
GGACGGUCGGUUCGCCGCUUGUCGGUGCUCAACUGGCCGGUCCGGACGUCCUGCCGGUGGGGCCUCACGGCCCCGUCAUCCUUCUUUGGUCCUCUUCACCGAGUGCCUUGGUGGGCCGGCACGUUUACUUUGAACAAAUUAGAGUGCUCAAAGCAGGCCGUUGGUCGCCUGAAUACUGUGUGCAUGGAAUAAUGGAAUAGGACCUCGGUUCCAUUUUGUUGGUUUUCGGGACUCGAGGUAAUGAUUAAUAGGGACGGACGGGGGCAUUCGUAUUGCGACGUUAGAGGUGAAAUUCUUGGAUCGUCGCAAGACGAACCGAUGCGAAAGCAUUUGCCAAGAACGUUUUCGUUGAUCAAGAACGAAAGUUAGAGGUUCGAAGGCGAUCAGAUACCGCCCUAGUUCUAACCAUAAACGAUGCCAGCUAGCCAUCCGCCGAAGUUCCUUCUAUGACUCGGCGGGCAGCUUCCGGGAAACCAAAGCUCUUGGGUUCCGGGGGAAGUAUGGUUGCAAAGCUCAAACUUAAAGGAAUUGACGGAAGGGCACCACCAGGAGUGGAGCCUGCGGCUUAAUUUGACUCAACACGGGAAACCUCACCAGGCCCAGACACCGGUAGGAUUGACAGAAUAAGAGCUCUUUCUUGAUUCGGUGGGUGGUGGUGCAUGGCCGUUCUUAGUUGGUGGAGCGAUUUGUCUGGUAAUCCGAUACAACAGAUCGC